rnacentral:rRNA from 1 species
UACGUAGGGUGCAAGCGUUGUCCGGAAUUAUUGGGCGUAAAGAGCUCGUAGGCGGUCUGUCGCGUCGAAUGUGAAAACCCGGGGCUCAACCCCGGGCCUGCAUUCGAUACGGGCAGACUAGAGUUCGGUAGGGGAGUCUGGAAUUCCUGGUGUAGCGGUGAAAUGCGUAGAUAUCUGGAGGAACACCGGUGGCGAAGGCGGCAUCCUGGACCACGACUGACGCUGAGUGAGCGAAAGCCAGGGGAGCAAACGGG